GAUGAACGCUAGCGGGAGGCCUAACACAUGCAAGCCGAGCGGUAUUGUUUCUUCGGACAUGAGAGAGCGGCGUACGGGUGCGUAACACGUGUGCAACCUGCCUUUAUCUGGGGGAUAGCCUUUCGAAAGGAAGAUUAAUACUCCAUAAUAUAUUGAACGGCAUCGUUUAAUAUUGAAAGCUCCGGCGGAUAGAGAUGGGCACGCGCAAGAUUAGCUAGUUGGUGAGGUAACGGCUCACCAAGGCGAUGAUCUUUAGGGGGCCUGAGAGGGUGAUCCCCCACACUGGUACUGAGACACGGACCAGACUCCUACGGGAGGCAGCAGUGAGGAAUAUUGGUCAAUGGGUGCAAGCCUGAACCAGCCAUCCCGUGUGAAGGACGACUGCCCUAUGGGUUGUAAACUUCUUUUGGAUAGGGAUAAACCUACCCUCGAGAGGGUAGCUGAAGGUACUAUACGAAUAAGCACCGGCUAACUCCGUG
rnacentral:rRNA from 1 species